rnacentral:rRNA from 3 species
AAGAGUUUGAUCCUGGCUCAGGAUUAACGCUGGCGGCGUGCCUAAUACAUGCAAGUCGAACGGAAACCUUCGGGUUUUAGUGGCGAACGGGUGAGUAACACGUAAGCAACCUACCCUAAAGACGAGGAUAACCAUUGGAAACAGUGGCUAAGACUGGAUAGGAAGAUAAAAGGCAUCUUGUAUCUUUUAAAAGACCUAGUUAAUAGGUAUGCUUUAGGAGGGGCUUGCGCCAUAUUAGUUAGUUGGUAGGGUAAUGGCCUACCAAGACGAUGAUGUGUAGCUGGACUGAGAGGUUGAACAGCCACAUUGGGACUGAGACACGGCCCAAACUCCUACGGGAGGCAGCAGUAGGGAAUUUUCGGCAAUGGAGGAAACUCUGACCGAGCAACGCCGCGUGAAUGACGAAGUACUUCGGUAUGUAAAGUUCUUUUAUCGAGGAAGAAAAGCAAAUGGCGAACCAUUUGUUUGCCGGUACUUGAUGAAUAAGCCCCGGCUAAUUAUGUGCCAGCAGCCGCGGUAAGACAUAAGGGGCAAGUGUUAUCCGGAAUUAUUGGGCGUAAAGGGUGCGUAGGCGGUCUAGUAAGUCAGUGGUGUAAUGGCAACGCUUAACGUUGUCCGGCUAUUGAAACUGCUAAACUUGAGUUAGAUAGAGGCGAGUGGAAUUCCAUGUGUAGCGGUAAAAUGCGUAAAUAUAUGGAGGAACACCAGAGGCGUAGGCGGCUCGCUGGGUCUUAACUGACGCUGAGGCACGAAAGCGUGGGGAGCAAACAGGAUUAGAUACCCUGGUAGUCCACGCCGUAAACGAUGAGUACUAAGUGUCGGGUUAAACCGGUACUGAAGUUAACACAUUAAGUACUCCGCCUGAGUAGUACGUACGCAAGUAUGAAACUUAAAGGAAUUGACGGGACUCCGCACAAGCGGUGGAUCAUGUUGUUUAAUUCGAAGAUACCCGAAAAACCUUACCAGGUCUUGACAUGUUUUUGCAAAAUGAUAGUAAUAUCGUGGAGGUUACCAGAAACACAGGUGGUGCAUGGUUGUCGUCAGCUCGUGUCGUGAGAUGUUAGGUUAAGUCCUAAAACGAGCGAAACCCUUAUCGUUAGUUGCCAGCACGUUAUGGUGGGGACUUUAACGAGACUGCCAAUGAUAAAUUGGAGGAAGGUGAGGAUCACGUCAAAUCAGCAUGCCCCUUAUGACCUGGGCUACAAACGUGAUACAAUGGCUGUUACAAAGGGUAGCUGAAACGCAAGUUCUUGGCCAAUCCCCAAAAACAGUCCCAGUCCGGAUUGAAGUCUGCAACUCGACUUCAUGAAGUUGGAAUCGCUAGUAAUCGCGAAUCAGCAUGUCGCGGUGAAUACGUUCUCGGGGUUUGUACACACCGCCCGUCAAACCACGAAAGUUGGCAAUACCCCAAAACGGUAGCCUAACUCGUUUAUUCGAGAGGGCGCCGUCUAAGGUAGGGUCGAUGAUUGGGGUUAAGUCGUAACAAGGUAUCCCUACCGGAAGGUGGGGAUGGAUCACCUCCUUUCU